UCCCAUGUUUUAUAUAUAUUUCCAAUUAUCCUUCAAAAAUUCCAUCUAAGGUGUGAUUAUAAAUGCUUUUUAUUUAUUUCAUUUUAUUUUUUUGAUUAAGCUCCAAAGGGCAUGGGUUCAUGGCAAACAUGAUUAAUAGGAGCCAAAAGGCAUAAAGAGUACACACAAACAAAUCAUAAGAAUAUUGUCCUAGAAAAAUAGAAUUAAACAUGCAAAAGGAAACAAAAAACCUAAUUAGACAUGCAUCAAUACAUCACAUGUAUAGAAGCGCACGUCCAACCAUUAAACAAAUGCCAAACCAACAAGUUCAUUACAGCAGCAUAUGCUGAAGUUGCUCCAUUUUACUGCAUGCUCUUAGUCUUAUCAAAAUGAUUGGU
rnacentral:lncRNA from 1 species